UGCAUGGCAUCAUCAGAGUCCAGCGCCCUCCCCCCUACACGCUCUCCCUUUCUCUGUGGGGAAGGGAGGGAGGGGGCGGGGGCAGGCAGCUCUCCCCUCCCUCCACCUAUCCCUGCCGAAUGCCGAACCUCACUUCCGGGGAUGCCGGGGGCCCGGCACCCACGACGUAAGGGGAGGAGGGAGGCCCGGGCGAUGCAUCGCUACAGAUGCCGGCGCCCAGGUCCUGGAUGGCGCUGCGUCGGGGCACCCCCCCCCCUGCGACAGCGAGCACGCUUGUGCCUAAUCCAUAUGAUUAGGCAGAGCGUCAGCGCGGCUCGGGCGUGUGUCCCACCACCCACCCCCCGGCCCUCGCGCACUGCCUGCUGGUGUGCAGGGAGCCUGCGCCACGCCGAGGAGGAUGCACCGCGUGGCGGCCGGCACGAUGGGCGCGGGUCGGGGGUGGGUGGGUGGGGCCGCGUCUGAGGCAGGGGUCGUGCUGCGAUGACUGGGUCGGCGCAUUGCUGUGACGCGCGUGUCUAGCGCUGCUGCACACCACGCGAGGCGGGCCUGUGACGGGGCGCGUGCGGGCUCGAGUUGGGUUUGGACUCCUGUUGUAUGACAGAGAAACGGACACGUUGGAACCGAAA
rnacentral:misc_RNA from 1 species